rnacentral:rRNA from 1 species
GAUGAACGCUGGCGGCGUGCUUAACACAUGCAAGUCGAACGGGAAUUACUUUAUUGAAACUUCGGUCGAUAUGAUUUAAUUCUAGUGGCGGACGGGUGAGUAACGCGUGGGUAACCUGCCUUGUACAGGGGGAUAACAGUCAGAAAUGACUGCUAAUACCGCAUAAGCGCACAGAGCUGCAUGGCUCGGUGUGAAAAACUCCGGUGGUAUAAGAUGGACCCGCGUUGGAUUAGCUAGUUGGUGAGGUAACGGCCCACCAAGGCGACGAUCCAUAGCCGGCCUGAGAGGGUGAACGGCCACAUUGGGACUGAGACACGGCCCAGACUCCUACGGGAGGCAGCAGUGGGGAAUAUUGCACAAUGGGGGAAACCCUGACGCAGCGACGCCGCGUGAAGGAAGAAGUAUCUCGGUAUGUAAACUUCUAUCAGCAGGGAAGAAAAUGACGGUACCUGACUAAGAAGCCCCGGCUAACUACGUGCCAGCAGCCGCGGUAAUACGUAGGGGGCAAGCGUUAUCCGGAUUUACUGGGUGUAAAGGGAGCGUAGACGGAUGGACAAGUCUGAUGUGAAAGGCUGGGGCUCAACCCCGGGACUGCAUUGGAAACUGCCCGUCUUGAGUGCCGGAGAGGUAAGCGGAAUUCCUAGUGUAGCGGUGAAAUGCGUAGAUAUUAGGAGGAACACCAGUGGCGAAGGCGGCUUACUGGACGGUAACUGACGUUGAGGCUCGAAAGCGUGGGGAGCAAACAAGAUUAGAUACCCUGGUAGUCCACGCGGUAAACAAGAAAAGUAAAGGGUCGGGGGAGGCAAAAAAUAUUCGGUGCCGCCGCAAAACACAUUAAGCAUUCCACCUGGGGAGUACGUUCGCAAGAAAGAAAAUCAAAAGAAAAGACGGGGACCCGCACACGCGGUGGAGCAUGUGGUUUAAUUCGAAGCAACGCGAAGAACCUUACCAAGUCUUGACAUCCCUCUGACCGGAACUUAACCGUUCCUUUCCUUCGGGACAGAGGAGACAGGUGGUGCAUGGUUGUCGUCAGCUCGUGUCGUGAGAUGUUGGUUAAGUCCCGCAACGAGCGCAACCCCUAUCCCCAGUAGCCAGCGGUUCGGCCGGGCACUCUGAGGAGACUGCCAGGGAUAACCUGGAGGAAGGCGGGGAGGACGUCAAAUCAUCAUGCCCCUUAUGAUUUGGGCUACACACGUGCUACAAUGGCGUAAACAAAGGGAAGCGAACCUGCGAGGGUGGGCAAAUCCCAAAAAUAACGUCCCAGUUCGGACUGUAGUCUGCAACCCGACUACACGAAGCUGGAAUCGCUAGUAAUCGCGGAUCAGAAUGCCGCGGUGAAUA